GUCCUUGUAGUGCAAUGGAUAGCACGUUGGACUUCUAAUCCAAAGAUCGUGGGUUCGAAUACCUUCAGGAAUG